rnacentral:rRNA from 1 species
UCGGCCUACGGGACGCAGCAGUGGGGAAUAUUGCACAAUGGGGGGAACCCUGAUGCAGCGACGCCGCGUGGGUGAAGGAGCACCUCGGUGCGUAAAGCCCUAUCGGCAGGGAAGAAACAGACGGUACCUGACUAAGAAGCCCCGGCUAACUACGUGCCAGCAGCCGCGGUAAUACGUAGGGGGCAAGCGUUAUCCGGAUUUAUUGGGUUUUAAGGGUGCGUAGGCGGGUUGUCAAGUCAGCGGGAAAAAUUCCGGGCUCAACCCGGUCCCGCCGGUGAAACUGG